AAGCGUGCGCAGGCGGUUUUGUAAGACUGUCGUGAAAUCCCCCGGGCUCAACCUGGGAAUGGCGAUGGUGACUGCAAGGCUAGAGUUUGGCAGAGGGGGGUAGAAUUCCACGUGUAGCAGUGAAAUGCGUAGAUAUGUGGAGGAACACCGAUGGCGAAGGCAGCCCCCUGGGUCAAAACUGACGCUCAUGCACGAAAGCGUGGGGAGCAAACAGGAUUAGAUACCCGAGU
rnacentral:rRNA from 1 species